rnacentral:sRNA from 1 species
AUCUCCGGGGUUUGCUGGCUCACCCUCCACCUCCCCCAGCGAGCAGAGGGGUGGCCCCGCUGGGCAACAGACCUCUCCCCAAAUCCAGGCCCCUAUUUGGCACUCCCUGGUGGAGGCGCAUCAGCAGAUGUGGACCCCUUUUCUGAGGCCAGGCUGCUGGGGUCAGAGUGAGGCAAGAGCACCUCCCCCUCCCUAGAGCCUUAGUUCAAGAGGCCAGAAGACCCAGGGAGAAGCCGGCGUUUUGGGAGAAGGGGAGCUGCAGAGCUCCCCACCCAAGCAGGUGAGGGGAAACUGAGUUCCAGGGUAGGCUCCAGAGUGAAGAGGGAAGAAACAUGAUUCUCAAGGCCCAGGUCUGGACAAGUGUGAACACCUUGGGCCUGCGAAUUCAGCCCCCUCCUUCCUUUCUCUGGUCAAAGGCUAGACUUGCAGGAGCUUGCGUUUGAAGGGACAGCCCAGAAGGCAUCGUCUGCACUCCCCAUACAGGUGUGCCCGGAGAGGCUGAGCAGCCUGCGCCUGAGCUGGUGGAGGUGGAAGUGGGCAGCACAGCCCUUCUGAAGUGCGGCCUCUCCCAGUCCCAAGGCAACCUCAGCCAUGUCGACUGGUUUUCUGUCCACAAGGAGAAGCGGACGCUCAUCUUCCGUGUGCGCCAGGGCCAGGGCCAGAGCGAACCUGGGGAGUACGAGCAGCGGCUCAGCCUCCAGGACAGAGGGGCUACUCUGGCCCUGACUCAAGUCACCCCCCAAGACGAGCGCAUCUUCUUGUGCCAGGGCAAGCGCCCUCGGUCCCAGGAGUACCGCAUCCAGCUCCGCGUCUACAAAGCUCCGGAGGAGCCAAACAUCCAGGUCAACCCCCUGGGCAUCCCUGUGAACAGUAAGGAGCCUGAGGAGGUCGCUACCUGUGUAGGGAGGAACGGGUACCCCAUUCCUCAAGUCAUCUGGUACAAGAAUGGCCGGCCUCUGAAGGAGGAGAAGAACCGUGAGUAGCCCUUUCUCCCAAAAGCCACCCUUGGGCCAGGUGUGGUAGCUCACACCUGUAAUCUCGGUGCUUUGGGAGGCCAAGGCAGGAGGAUCUCUGGAGGCCAGGAGUUCAAGACCACCUUGGACAACAUAGGGUGACCCUGUCUCUACAGAAAAUAAAAAAAUUAGCCAGGCAUGGUGGUGUGUGCCUGUGGUCCCAGAUACUUGGGAGGCUGAGGCAGGAGGAUCAUAUGAGCCCAGGAAAUGAAGGCUGCAGUGAGCUAGGAUUGCGCCACCACACUCUGGCCUGGAUGACAGAGCGAGACCCCAUCUCUUAAAAAGAGCUGUCCCUAUGGUACUACACAGGAACUGCCUUACAUUUUCUUUAAGCUUUUAACUUAGAAAAAUUAUACAAAUGGUACUUGAAAAUAUUUUCAUGAGAAUUUAAACUGACAAAAAAUCUAGAAGUUUCUUCUUGCCUGAGACCCCCCCCCUCCCAAAAAUAAUCUCUGCUAUCAGGGUGUGUUCUUUCAAGCCUAUUUCUAUGUAUUUGCUUAUAUAUAGAAAUAUUUCUAGAAUGAUAUAGGCUUCUGUUUUUUAUUAUCUAAAUCAGUCAUUCUUAACCAGGGGUGAUUUUGUACCCCCUCCUCCUAGGAGAUAUUUGGCAAUGUCUGGAGAUAUUUUUGGUUGUCACACAUGGAGUGGGUGCUACUGCCAUCUAGUAGGUAGAGAGACCAAGGAUGUUGCUAACAUCCUAUAGGGCACAGGACAGCCCCCACAAUAAAGAAUCAACGUGGCCUAAAACAUCAGUAGUGCUGGCUGGGCUCACGCCUGUAAUCCCAGCACUUUUGGAGGCCAAGGUGGGUGGAUCACCUGAGGUCGGGAGUUCAAGACCAGCCUGUCCAACAGGGAGAAACCCCAUCUCUACUGAAAAUACAAAAGUAGCCGGGCGUGGUGGCGCAUGUCUGUAAUCCCAGCUACUCAGGAGGCUGAGGCAGGAGAAUCACUUGAAGCCAGGAGGGAGGUGGAGGUUGCAGUGAGCCGAGAUUGUAACACUGCACUCCAGCCUGGGCAACAAUGAGUGAAACUCUGUCUGAAAAAAAAAAAAAAAAAAAAAUUAUCAGUAGUGCUGAGAAACCCUGGUCUAAGUGGUGGUGUAUGGUAUACAUCGUUAGACAAUUUCUUUUAUACAAUGUUUCUGGGUCAGUCUAUUUAGAUCAACUGAUCGUUUUGCUUACUGCCAAGUUUUCCAUACUAUGCAUAGCAGGUAGUCGAGUUCACCAUUCCCCAUUUAGUGGACCUCUAGACGGCUGCUCGUUUUUAUCAUUGCAGCAUUCUUUGCACAUAUCCUUGGAUAUGAGCAGACAUGAAAAUGUUUUUCUAGGGUUGACACUGAGCAGUAAAAGUGCUGGGUUGAAGGGUUUCCAGCUUGCAUUUGUACCUGGCCUUCUACAGGGGACAGGGGGCUAUUUAGAUGGUCCCCUGCCAACCCCGGUGGACAACCCUAGGGUGGGGCCGGAGGUGGGGCUGAGGCUGAGUCUUCCUCCCCUUCCUCCCUGCCCAGGGGUCCACAUUCAGUCGUCCCAGACUGUGGAGUCGAGUGGUUUGUACACCUUGCAGAGUAUUCUGAAGGCACAGCUGGUUAAAGAAGACAAAGAUGCCCAGUUUUACUGUGAGCUCAACUACCGGCUGCCCAGUGGGAACCACAUGAAGGAGUCCAGGGAAGUCACCGUCCCUGUUUUCUACCCGACAGAGAAAGUGUGGUUGGAAGUGGAGCCCGUGGGAAUGCUGAAGGAAGGGGACCGCGUGGAAAUCAGGUGUUUGGCUGAUGGCAACCCUCCACCACACUUCAGCAUCAGCAAGCAGAACCCCAGCACCAGGGAGGCAGAGGAAGAGACAACCAACGACAACGGGGUCCUGGUGCUGGAGCCUGCCCGGAAGGAACACAGUGGGCGCUAUGAAUGUCAGGGCCUGGACUUGGACACCAUGAUAUCGCUGCUGAGUGAACCACAGGAACUACUGGUGAACUAUGUGUCUGACGUCCGAGUGAGUCCCGCAGCCCCUGAGAGAGAGGAAGGCGGCAGCCUCACCCUGACCUGUGAGGCAGAGAGUAGCCAGGACCUCGAGUUCCAGUGGCUGAGAGAAGAGACAGGCCAGGUGCUGGAAAGGGGGCCUGUGCUUCAGUUGCAUGACCUGAAACGGGAGGCAGGAGGCGGCUAUCGCUGCGUGGCAUCUGUGCCCAGCAUACCCGGCCUGAACCGCACACAGCUGGUCAACGUGGCCAUUUUUGGCCCCCCUUGGAUGGCAUUCAAGGAGAGGAAGGUGCGGGUGAAAGAGAAUAUGGUGUUGAAUCUGUCUUGUGAAGCGUCAGGGCACCCCCGGCCCACCAUCUCCUGGAACGUCAACGGCACGGCAAGUGAACAAGACCAAGAUCCACAGCGAGUCCUGAGCACCCUGAAUGUCCUCGUGACCCCGGAGCUGUUGGAGACAGGUGUUGAAUGCACGGCCUCCAACGACCUGGGCAAAAACACUAGCGUCCUCUUCCUGGAGCUGGUCAAUUUAACCACCCUCACACCAGACUCCAACACAACCACUGGCCUCAGCACUUCCACUGCCAGUCCUCAUACCAGAGCCAACAGCACCUCCACAGGUAAGCCAGGCCUGGCAAGAGAACAGGGCUGUGCCAGGGCAUCCUUUCUGCCCUGUCCCUCCCCAGAGAGCCCUGUCCAGAAAGGUGAGUAGCAGCCCCAUCUUGUCGGCCCUGGACUGGCUGGGGCAACGAUGGUGACGAGGUGGCCUGGGGCAGGGAGUGACGAGGAGUGUCUUUGUGGCGCAGAGAGAAAGCUGCCGGAGCCGGAGAGCCGGGGCGUGGUCAUCGUGGCUGUGAUUGUGUGCAUCCUGGUCCUGGCGGUGCUGGGCGCUGUCCUCUAUUUCCUCUAUAAGAAGGGCAAGCUGCCGUGCAGGCGCUCAGGCAAGCAGGAGAUCACGCUGCCCCCGUCUCGUAAGAGCGAAUUUGUAGUUGAAGUUAAGUCAGAUAAGCUCCCAGAAGAGAUGGGCCUCCUGCAGGGCAGCAGCGGUGACAAGAGGGCUCCGGGAGACCAGGGAGAGAAAUACAUCGAUCUGAGGCAUUAGCCCCGAAUCACUUCAGCUCCCUUCCCUGCCUGGACCAUUCCCAGCUCCCUGCUCACUCUUCUCUCAGCCAAAGCCUCCAAAGGGACUAGAGAGAAGCCUCCUGCUCCCCUCGCCUGCACACCCCCUUUCAGAGGGCCACUGGGUUAGGACAUGAGGACCUCACUUGGCCCUGCAAGGCCCGCUUUUCAGGGACCAGUCCACCACCAUCUCCACGUUGAGUGAAGCUCAUCCCAAGCAAGGAGCCCCAGUCUCCCGAGCGGGCUGGCUUCCAUCAUCCAGGUGCACCACUGAAGUGAGGACACACCGGAGCCAGGCGCCUGCUCAUGUUGAAGUGCGUUGUUCACACCCGCUCCGGAGAGCACCCCAGCAGCAUCCAGAAGCAGCUGCAGUGUUGCUGCCACCACCCUCCUGUCUGCCUCUUCAAAGUCUCCUGUGACAUUUUUUCUUUGGUCAGAAGCCAGGAACUGGUAUAAUUCCUUAAAAGAUACGUGCCGGGGCCAGGCGCGGUGGCUCACGCCUGUAAUCCCAGCACUUUGGGAGGCCGAGGCGGGCGGAUCACAAGGUCAGGACGAGACCAUCCUGGCUAACACGGUGAAACCCCGUCUCUACUAAAAAUACAAAAAAAAAAAUUAGCUAGGCGUAGUGGUUGGCACCUAUAGUCCCAGCUACUCGGAAGGCUGAAGCAGGAGAAUGGUAUGAAUCUAGGAGGUGGAGCUUGCAGUGAGCCGAGACCGUGCCACUGCACUCCAGCCUGGGCAACACAGCGAGACUCCGUCUCGAGG